UUCAUUUUGUCUGAUGUAUUGAGCUAAUGGUUCCAGAUAUGGCGCGAAGAGUAGUGGUGACCAUGCACAACUCUGUCUUGUACCCCUUUCUAGAAAAAAAAGAAAGAAAGAAAGAAAGAAAGAAAGAAUGCCUGGUUGUUGGAAGAUCUCCACAUGCUCCAUGGAAUUCGUAAUAGAAAGAAACCAAUAUCACUUCCUGGGGGAUUUCGAAGACAUUCGCUGCUUCAUCUGAAUGAGGCCCAGCAGCCACCUCGCUCGCACGCGGUCGGGCCGGAGAGCUGCUCGCUGCACUCCUCUCGGACGCAAGCUCUGCAGUGUUGCUUUUUUAAUUUCCAUUUCUUCUCCCCAUUCUUGCCCCUCUUUUCAGUUCAAAUAUUUUUCGAAAAGUAUUAUAUUUGAUGGGUUAAUGGAGCUUAAUACGCAUUUUUCUGGAGGAGCUAGUGACAAGCUCCCAUUCUCGACGAUGACAUCACCAGAAAACCUUCUUUGCAAUUUUUAUGAAGUAUUUAGCAUGAUUCCCUUGCUUUUAUACAUUAUCUGUAUUUACAAUGAUAAGCCUGUAUUUCCUUUGAAUAUAUAU